rnacentral:tRNA from 1 species
GCCUCAGUAGCUCAGCUAGCAGAGCACCAGUCCUGUAAACUGGGGGUCGGGAGUGCAAAUCUCUCCUGAGGCU